GUCAAUGUAGCAGAACCCGGUACUGCAAAAGACCUAAACCCUUUUUAUAGAGGCUCAAAUCCUCUCAUUGAUACAAAUU
rnacentral:tRNA from 1 species